CUGCCCCAGCCCGCUGUUUCCGGCUUCUCCGACUACCCAGGUCCCUCCCUGGAGCUCUGACGACACAGAGAAGAGAAAGUGGGCUGGAGGAGGAAGAGGAAGAAAGUGGGGCCCUGCCAUCCCACCAGUGGCUGUGAAGAAUGCAGGAGGAAAAGCAGAGAGAAAAGAAUGUUGCAGUCUGGGAACUGCAGGUUGCAACCCAAUAGUGAGUCACGAAAUCAAUCAGAAACAGUUAUUUUCCAUCAACCAGAUUUCCGUUUUGGUGGAAGUUUGUGGACGUUCUACAGGUGUUUGGAAGAACAGCUUACUCAGUGGUGGUUACUACCCAUUCAGUGGCCUGAGCGGUGGAGCUGCAGACCAUUCUUCAGUGGGAGGCGGAGCACUCCAGUCUUCAGUGGGAGGCGGCGCACACUCCAGUCUUCAGUGGGAGGCGGAGCACUCCAGUCUUCAGUGGGAGGCGGCGCACACUCCAGUCUUCAGUGGGGAACUGCUGAAUAGGCACGGAAGGCGCCUACACACCUUCGGACCAGUCUGUUGCCUCAGGCUGAGUAGCAGUGAACUCUGGAGCUGGAGCAGCCCAUUCACCCUGAAAUUCCUCCUUGGUCACAGCCUUCUCAGCUGCUGCCUGCUCUUCUUUUUCAAUCUCUUCAGGAUCUCUGUAGAAGUAGAGAUCCGGCAUGACCUCCCAUGGGUGCUCUCGGGUGAUGGUGCCACGCAUGCGCAGAACUUCCCGGGCGUGCAUCCACAUCAGACCCGCUGAGUGCGCUCCCUUUUUAGGAUCUCAAGUAGAAUAUACGAACUGAGAAAACAGAAGAGUCAAGUACUGCCUGAAGAGUUAGAAAUAUUGAAGAAGAGAGAAAAAAAAAGGUUAUUUUUAAAAUGUUUUCGCCUCUGCUUAAAUAAGCUCUCAUUCCUUAAAAUCAUACUUUUGUAGCAAGUAUUACUAUCCAACUCCACUCAUUGGCCAGAGACCCUUGUGGUGUUAGUGAAAAACUUGCCCCUCGUGUAAAACACUACCUACGCUUGUGAGUUCAUUGGCCAGCGGCCUCAACUCCAAGCUCUAACAAUGUGCAGACAAACUGAAUCUAAAAGGGAAAAAAGAAGUUAUUCAGGCCAAGAACAAGAGGAAAGGUACAUCAGGAAGGGAGUCUAGCAUGUGCAAAAACAUGGAUGCUGUGGGAGCAUGGUACCUCUGGAAAUGGGUGAUAGGUGGCAGUGGGGAACAGCAGAGGAUUUAGGGCAGGUGGGCAAUAUGAUGAGAUUGAGUAGAGAGACUACCCUGGUUGCAGUGUGGAGAAUGGAUUUGAACAGUAAAUCUGAAACCGGGAGAACUGUUCAGAAGGUUAAUAAUAAUGAAGAAGAGUACCAUAUGGAGGAGGAGAAGUGAAGCGUUGUGGAAUCAACCUGGUUAGGAAGAGAAGUAAAGACAAGAGCCAGUGGGAAAGGAAAGAAUAGAAUCAAGGAACUGGAAGUCUCAACCAACCUAAAGAUCAGACUUCCUGGGAGCAAGAGAAGGAAGGAAUUGAAAGGUUGGCAUAUGUAGUCAGAGACAAAGGGGUGAGAUUCCACUGAGCUCCCUUGGGAGGGUGUGGUAGAGGUUGUGGCUAUGGGAGUGAGUGGCUCUGGCAAAAUGGAAGUGAGUCAUUGGAGCUGAAGAGACCAGGGUGCCGCUGGACUACCUGCAUGAACAUUGAAGCCACCUGGGUUUGCUAAAGACCUGAGGUGGCAAGGAAGACAGUGAAUCAGAUGCCAUAGUCUUUCUUCAAGGAGAGUGGGCAAAUGACCGGGACAUCAGUGGAUGGCGGCAAAAGUAAUAACUAACAUUUAAUGAGAGUUUAUGUGUUACUUCAAUUCCUGCUUUUUAAAUCAUCCAAGAACUGCACAUUUUAUCCUACAACAGUACUAUGAAUUAGAACUAUGUGCCCAGUGUGGUGAAGUGAAAGUCGCUCAGUCAUGUCCCACUUUUUGUGACCCCAUGGACUAUACAGUCCAUGGAAUUCUCC